CCCUCUUCCUCUUUCUUCUUUUUCUUCUUCUGCUUCUGUUCGUCGCUCCGGCAAUUUUGUGAGUUGUUUCUGAGGUUGAAUUCGAAAAGAAACUUAGGGGAAACAUUAGGAAUUGACGCUUAGUGGUGAUGUUGAUGUUAAUAGAGCUCGGGAGAAGAAAGAGUGGACGUUGUUGUAAGAUGAGAAUUAGGGUUUAUAGGAUUGAUUGACGUUCUGAAGAUUUAGAGGAUGAAUUAUGGAGGUGUUGUUGAUGAAGAGUCAUGGGUAGAUGUUUAAUUGAAGUAUUGAAAUUGAUUCUGUGACGAAUCAUUGAGGAUAUUAGAACUAGGGUUUUGAGAGAUGAAGUCGAGUGAGGAUUUAUGUGGUUCUGAGGAUGAUGUUAAGUAAUUGGUGAGUAUUUUGAGUUAAGAGCAAGUAAGAAGAAUUAACAACUGAUUUUCAUUUCACAGUGAAUAAUCAAAGAAUUAGGGUUGUAAGAUGAACUCAGAGAAGAUGUGGAUUAAUCUUUAGAAGUUAAAUUAGAAGAUGGGUUUUCUUGGGUUGAGGAUUUGAAUUGAUGUUGUGAACUAGAAUUAGAGAAAGAAAGGAAUUGGGAAUUGGUUUUAGGGUUUCAGAGAAUCAACGUUGGUGAUGAGGAUUAUUAGGUUGAUGAUUAGUCUUGAUACAAGAUGCUGAAUCGAAUUAAAUUGUUUGAGUACGUCUAAUAUGAGGUGAGAAUUAUAUGUUCGAGAUAUAGAAGUUGAUGUCCUGUGUUGGAAUGGAUGUGUGGUUUAAACUAUGAAAUGAUUGUGAAGCUAAGAACUGAAUGGUCAUGAUGAGUGUGUUGAUGAACUGUUACAGGUGUGCAGAUUGUUGGUACUAGUGGUUAUCUUAAUACUAGAUAAACAUGCAUUGUAGCUGUAUUUGCUUGUGAAGAAGAACAUGUUGAUGUUGAUGGUGUUAUUGUGUAUGUAAAUGUGUUUUGAAUUAAAUUUGUGGAUGAGAUGUAUGGAGAGUAAGUUAUGAACAACCUGAAGUGAUAACAAUGUUUUUGUUGGAAUUCAAGUUGAUUGUACCAAGUUUUCAGAGUUGGUAUUGCUCAAGAAGAAGUGACUAGGGAUUACGGUUGAACGAGUAUGAAUCGAAAAAAGUAACGAAGCUGCAGAUGCAAGUGUUGGAAUUGUUUGGCGGUGAACUGAGUUAGAAUUACAGAUGGUUGUUAGAUGUAGCUGUAGAGUUUGGUGUUGGCAGUGAUGUUUGAUAGAAUUAAUAGUUUUGGAACUGAGUUCAGUUGAAGUAGUUCAUAACUUAGCUGCAACUGUUGCUUUGUGGUUGUAGAAAGAGUAUGGCUUAGUACUGCAAUUGCAGUUAGUUUAUAUUAACAACGAUCGAUUCAAAGGAUGAACCAGUGGAUCGUGUAUCUCAAGGUAGGCGUGGCUUGUCAUCAAAAGAGUUUCAGAUACAGAUCAGAGUUGCGCAGCGGAAGCUUCAAGGUUCGAGUUCGUUAGUUGUUUAACUUCUGUUAUGUUUAUUAUGUUGCGUAUUUUAUUUGUAAACCAAACGACUAUUGUAUAUGCAUCAUUUGAGAGAAGAUCUUGUAUAUAUAUAUAAUUAUGAGCGGGUCUAGUUUUGGGUUAAGUUUUUAUAGCAUAUUUCUUAAUUGAAUGCUUAAGUUUUUGAUUUA